rnacentral:rRNA from 1 species
UACAGAGGAGCCAAGCGUUGUCCGGAUUGACUGGGCGUAAAGCGCACGUAGGCGGAUGUGUCAGUCAGGGGUGAAAUCCCGGAGCUCAACUUCGGAACUGCCCUUGAUACAGCACGUCUUGAGUCCGGAAGAGGUGGGUGGAAUUCCUAGUGUAGAGGUGAAAUUCGUAGAUAUUAGGAAGAACACCGGUGGCGAAGGCGGCCCACUGGUCCGGUACUGACGCUGAGGUGCGAAAGCGUGGGGAGCAAACAGGAU